rnacentral:rRNA from 1 species
UAAUACGUAGGUGGCAAGCGUUGUCCGGAUUUAUUGGGUUUAAAGGGUGCGUAGGCGGCUCCUUAAGUCAGUGCUGAAAUACUCUAGCUUAACUAGAGGGGUGGCAUUGAUACUGAGGAGCUUGAGUGGAGUCGAGGUAGGCGGAAUUGACGGUGUAGCGGUGAAAUGCUUAGAUAUCGUCAAGAACACCGAUAGUGUAGACAGCUUACUAGGCUUCAACUGACGCUGAGGCACGAAAGUGUGGGGAUCAAACAGG